rnacentral:tRNA from 1 species
GCAUGUAAAGCUAAUACCCCACGAAGCGCUGGUCUUGUAAACCAGAAAAAGAACCUCUUCUACACGCA